GACGAACGCUGGCGGCGUGCUUAACACAUGCAAGUGGAGCGACGAACCGGGCUUCGGCCCGGGGCAAAGCCGCGAACGGGUGAGUAUCACGUGGGUAACCUGCCCCGAUGACCGGGACAACCCGAGGAAACUCGGGCUAAUACCGGAUGUGCUCCCAAUCCACCAGGGUUGGGAACAAAGGAAGCUUCGGCCUCCGCAUUGGGAUGGGCCCGCGGCCCAUUAGCUUGUUGGUGAGGUAAAGGCUCACCAAGGCCGCGAUGGGUAGCUGGUCUGAGAGGACGAUCAGCCAAACUGGGGCUGAGACACGGCCCAGACUACUACGGGAGGCAGCAGUGGGGAAUCUUGCGAAAUGCGCGAAAGCGUGACGCAGCAACGCCGCGUGAGGGAAGAAGGCCUUCGGGUUGUAAGCCUCUUUCAGGAGGGACGAAGGUUCAGGCGCGAAUAGCGACCUGGACUGACGGUACCUCCAGAAGAAGCCCCGGCUAACUACGUGCCAGCCGCCGCCGUAACAC
rnacentral:rRNA from 1 species